CAGCCGCCGCGGUAAAACCAGCACCUCAAGUGGUCAGGAUGAUUAUUGGGCCUAAAGCAUCCGUAGCCGGCUCUGUAAGUUUUCGGUUAAAUCUGUACGCUUAACGUACAGGCUGCCGGGAAUACUGCAAAGCUAGGGAGUGGGAGAAGUAGACGGUACUCGGUAGGAAGUGGUAAAAUGCUUUGAUCUAUCGAUGACCACCUGUGGCGAAGGCGGUCUACUAGAACACGUCCGACGGUGAGGGAUGAAAGCUGGGGGAGCAAACCGGAUUAGAUACCCGGGUAGUCCCAGCUGUAAACUAUGCAAACUUAGUGAUGCAUUGGCUUGUGGCCAAUGCAGUGCUGCAGGGAAGCCGUUAAGUUUGCCGCCUGGGAAGUACGUACGCAAGUAUGGAACUUAAAGGAAUUGGCGGGGGAGCAC
rnacentral:rRNA from 2 species